CAGCACCUGCACCAGCAGAGCGAGGAGCUCUGUCAGAAGCUCUUCAAAAGGCGCCGCAGCCAGAACGGAGAGCGCCGGGCAGGGGCCGGCUCGGCCACGGGCGCCUUGCGGGGCGCGGCAUGAGCCGGGCUGGGAGCGGCGGAACACGGGCGGGACACGAGCAGAGGGAGUGGGAGCGGGACAACGGGACGGAGAACGAGCUGGAAGUCGAGCGGAAAAUGAUCGAGAGAGGCGCUGCCGCUGCCGCUGCCGCUGCUGCUGCUGCUGCUGCUGAGCCGCCGGAGCGCCGUGGCCUCGGGAACCCAGCGGAGGAGCCGCCGCCCGCCCCGCGGAACAAAACGAACAAACAAAAGCCCGAACUAACUCAUAUUAGAGAAGCUUCCAGAGGUCGUGGCAGCAGAGUUCCAGCACCUCACCACCCUCGCAGUCAGGAGUUUUUUUCUGAAUAUCGAAUUUACACCUAGUUAUUUUGCGGCGGAGCACCUCCAUAUGCAGGUUUCUUUUUUUCAUCUGAGGGCGAGAGCGAAACUGGAGGGUACAUGAGGUCACUGUACCAUUGUCGUCUUACCAUCCUCUGUGCAGGGAAGAGGCAGAGAAUGAAGUGGUUGUAGUGAAAAACUGCUUUUCCAACAGCAGUGUGAGCUCUUCUUUACGAACACGCAGUACUAAUAGUGCGCGGUGAGAAGCGACUUGUAAGCAUCCUGCUCCACCAAGCGUCUGCAAUUGCAUCUGCAGUACUGGGAAAGUCACGAUCGUUUUGCUGUAAUCCCUCUGCUUGUGACUGCAAACGGAUCGUGUUUUUCCCUAUCCCUGCUCAGGUGGCAGGGGAACAAAUUGCGUCAAAGUACCGAGGAAAAUUACUUGAAACACUUGGCUACAGCGCUGGAUGGUGUUUUGAGGAGAAAGAUGGAUGAGAUACUGACAUAAUGGGAACAUGACACCUGCAUACACCCCUCAAGAAACGCAACUGGAGCACCAAUCCAUGCUGCAAUUUCAGUACUGCAAUUUCAGGUUUUUCUUUUAAGUCUUUCCCCAGUCUCAUGAUGGAGCAAAAAAAUAUUUUAUUUUCAUGAUAUUCCAUAACAUUGUGAUUGUUUACUUUUUAUAUACAAAAAAGUAGAAUGGCUGUGGAAAAAUGAAAGUCUCAUAAAAAAUUUUUUCACUGAUUAAGAUUUUCUGAAAUAUUAGAAAUGUCAAAGCACUCUGAUAGUAUUUUCUUCUAAUACUGAGGAUCUUCCACAGCAGAAAACAGUUGUGUACAGGCAGUGCAAUAUGUUCUCCAUCCACCCACUGGGGAGGUUUUACACCCACUUCCCAAAACAGCUUUCAAGUCACAAGAGACAGGAACUGUGUCUCUGAUAAGGUUUUCUUCAGCUAUGGUAAAUGUAACUUAAGCAAACAUUUUUAUUACCUGUGGUAAGUAACUUUCUGUAAGCAAAAUUAUCACUGCUGUUGCUUUAGUCAUGUACUAUAUAUUCACUAGAGUUUUGUUCACAUUAAGUCCUCACAACAUUAAUUUCCUGUGCAUUACCCCAUAGGCUGUAUCCUGUGAUUACAUUAAAUUGUUGUUUUGUAUUGACUUCUAAUAGCAUCUUUUUGGAAAAAUGCAAUAGAAUAUAGGCAAAUCUAGUGCUAAUGAAUGUGUUUUUACUGUUAACAUUUCUUUUAUUUUUGGAGCCCCAGCAUGGAGGAACAAAAAAGAGGUGAUGGAUUUGUCUUGCUGACGUCGCUGGACAGCUCUCACUCUGUCGUUUUGCCUGAGAGUUGAGCCAAGCCAAUAGUGGGCUCCUGCAAGUGGGCACUUCAAACCAUCUGCUCUUUUAUUUCAUUUCGUGGCUGGAAAGAAGACCCUUCUGUAGGACUGAUCUUCACUCUUGCAUGUGUCUACUGGGUAUUUAGCUUUUUCAUGUGAAGAGAAGAGACUUCUAGCAAAAAGAAUGUUUUUCCUCACUUGGUAGUGUUACUCCAAGGGCACAGUGUGGAAGACAGAAAAACUUGCCAAGUGGAUGAACAACUAAGAAUGAUGUCUACCUGCAAAGAAACAGGUGGAAAAAUGUUACCAAAAUGGGAAAGCUCUUAGCAGUUCUUUCAGUCUAUACAAAAGGUAUUUGUGGGCUAGGAGGGGGGUGGUCUAAUUCAAGGCUUUCUCAUUGCUGUUGAUCUGACAGUGAAGUAUUUUUAUAGAAAAUUACUGCGAAUUGCUUUCAGAUGCUACAUUGGACAAGCAUUUGCAACUUGGCAAGCUGAGAUGGAUUCAUGCAUUGUGUUCCUCUGCUGUGAUUAGGAUGGAGAUACAAUUAGUAUUGUGUCUGGGGUUUGGGCUGUUUGGGGUUUUGUUUCUUCCUUUUGUUUGUUUUUUUUCGUUUAUUCUGGCAAGGUGCUUUGGGUGGGUAAGUGUAGAGACAAAUCUAAAGGCUAGUUGUAUUUCAGGAGACUAAACCUUCCUGUUGUUAAGAACUACUUCUGGACCUCCCAAGCUGCAUUCUAGGGUUGUGAUCCCUGCUGCAUUGCCUGAUGAUGCAGGAGUUUUGCUCUCAUGUCUGUCACUGCCUUUACAGCAGUCACAGGCUCCUGGGAGAUGUGCCCUCUGCCUUCCUCUCACCUGACUACCCAAGCCCAGCUGUCUCCCCUCAGAGGCACUGUGCUUCAGGUCCCUAACAAUUUUUGUAGUCUCA